rnacentral:rRNA from 1 species
AGUCAAGUAAUUAAGUGCAUGUGGUGGAUGCCUUGGCAGUCAGAGGCGAUGAAAGACGUGAUAGCCUGCGAAAAGCUCCGGGGAGGCGGCAAAUAUCCUUUGAUCCGGAGAUGUCUGAAUGGGGGAACCCACCUACUUUAAGGUAGGUAUUGCAACAUGAAUACAUAGUGUUGCAAGGCGAACGAGGGGAAGUGAAACAUCUCAGUACCCUUAGGAAAAGAAAUCAAUUGAGAUUCCCUCAGUAGCGGCGAGCGAACGGGGAUCAGCCCAUUAAGUUAUGUGUGUUUUAGUGGAACGCUCUGGGAAGUGCGAACGUAGAGGGUGAUAUUCCCGUACACGAAAGGGCACACAUAAUGAUGACGAGUAGGGCGAGGCACGUGAAACCUUGUCUGAAUAUGGGGGGACCAUCCUCCAAGGCUAAAUACUCCUGACUGACCGAUAGUGAACCAGUACCGUGAGGGAAAGGCGAAAAGAACCCCUGUGAGGGGAGUGAAAUAGAUCCUGAAACCGCAUGCAUACAAGCAGUGGGAGCACCUUCGUGGUGUGACUGCGUACCUUUUGUAUAAUGGGUCAGCGACUUAUAUUCAGUAGCGAGGUUAACCGUAUAGGGGAGCCGUAGAGAAAUCGAGUCUUAAUAGGGCGUUUAGUUGCUGGGUAUAGACCCGAAACCAGGCGAUCUAUCCAUGAGCAGGUUGAAGGUUGGGUAACACUAACUGGAGGACCGAACCCACUGUCGUUGAAAAGCCAGGGGAUGACUUGUGGAUAGGGGUGAAAGGCUAAUCAAGCCUGGUGAUAGCUGGUUCUCCCCGAAAGCUAUUUAGGUAGCGCCUCGGACGAAUACCAUAGGGGGUAGAGCACUGUUUCGGCUAGGGGGUCAUCCCGACUUACCAAACCGAUGCAAACUCCGAAUACCUAUGAGUACUAUCCGGGAGACAGACUGCGGGUGCUAACGUCCGUAGUCAAGAGGAAAACAAUCCAGACCGCCAGCUAAGGCCCCAAAAUCAUAGUUAAGUGGGAAACGAUGUGGGAAGGCAUAGACAGCUAGGAGGUUGGCUUAGAAGCAGCCACCCUUUAAAGAAAGCGUAAUAGCUCACUAGUCGAGUCGGCCUGCGCGGAAGAUGUAACGGGGCUAAAACUAUGUGCCGAAGCUGCGGAUGUAUACUUUGUAUACGUGGUAGGGGAGCGUUCUGUAAGCCGAUGAAGGUGUGUUGAGAAGCAUGCUGGAGGUAUCAGAAGUGCGAAUGCUGACGUGAGUAACGACAAAACGGGUGAAAAACCCGUUCGCCGAAAGACCAAGGGUUCCAGUCCAACGUUAAUCGGGGCUGGGUGAGUCGACCCCUAAGGCGAGGCCGAAAGGCGUAGUCGAUGGGAAAAUGGUUAAUAUUCCAUUACUUCUGUGUAAUGCGAUGAGAGGACGGAGAAGGCUAAAUCAGCCUGGCGUUGGUUGUCCAGGUGAAAGGAUGUAGGCAUGUAUCUUAGGCAAAUCCGGGGUACUCUAUGCUGAGAUCUGAUAGCAAGCUGUACUUGUACAGCGAAGUGGUUGAUGCCAUGCUUCCAGGAAAAGUCUCUAAGCUUCAGUUACACAGGAAUCGUACCCGAAACCGACACAGGUGGUCAGGUCGAGUAGACCAAGGCGCUUGAGAGAACUCUGCUGAAGGAACUAGGCAAAAUGGUACCGUAACUUCGGGAGAAGGUACGCUGUUGUUGGUGAUGGAACUCGCUUCCUGAGCUGACGACAGCCGCAGAAACCAGGCCGCUGCAACUGUUUAUUAAAAACAUAGCACUCUGCAAACACGAAAGUGGACGUAUAGGGUGUGAUGCCUGCCCGGUGCUGGAAGGUUAAUUGAUGGGGUUAGCGUAAGCGAAGCUCUUGAUCGAAGCCCCAGUAAACGGCGGCCGUAACUAUAACGGUCCUAAGGUAGCGAAAUUCCUUGUCGGGUAAGUUCCGACCUGCACGAAUGGCAUAAUGAUGGCGGCGCUGUCUCCAGCAGAGGCUCAGUGAAAUCGAAAUCGCUGUGAAGAUGCAGUGUACCCGCGGCUAGACGGAAAGACCCCGUGAACCUUUACUGCAGCUUGACACUGAACUUUGACCUUACUUGUGUAGGAUAGGUGGGAGGCUUUGAAGCUGGAACGCUAGUUCCAGUGGAGCCGUCCUUGAAAUACCACCCUGGUAAUGUUGAGGUUCUAACUCUGUCCCGUGAUCCGGGACGAGGACCGUGUCUGGUGGGUAGUUUGACUGGGGCGGUCUCCUCCUAAAGAGUAACGGAGGAGUACGAAGGUGCGCUCAGCGUGGUCGGAAAUCACGCGUAGAGUAUAAAGGCAAAAGCGCGCUUAACUGCGAGACCCACAAGUCGAGCAGGUACGAAAGUAGGUCUUAGUGAUCCGGUGGUUCUGUAUGGAAGGGCCAUCGCUCAACGGAUAAAAGGUACUCUGGGGAUAACAGGCUGAUACCGCCCAAGAGUUCAUAUCGACGGCGGUGUUUGGCACCUCGAUGUCGGCUCAUCUCAUCCUGGGGCUGAAGCAGGUCCCAAGGGUAUGGCUGUUCGCCAUUUAAAGAGGUACGCGAGCUGGGUUUAGAACGUCGUGAGACAGUUCGGUCCCUAUCUACCGUGGGCGCUGGAAAUUUGAGAGGAUCUGCUCCUAGUACGAGAGGACCAGAGUGGACGAACCUCUGGUGUACCGGUUGUGACGCCAGUCGCAUC